UACGAAGGGGGCUAGCGUUGCUCGGAAUUGCUGGGCGUAAAGCGCACGUAGGCGGCUUCUUAAGUCGGUGGUGAAAUCCUGGAGCUCAACUCCAGAACUGCCUUCGAUACUGGGAAGCUCGAGUCCGGGAGAGGUGAGUGGAACUGCGAGUGUAGAGGUGAAAUUCGUAGAUAUUCGCAAGAACACCAGUGGCGAAGGCGGCACACUGGCCCGGUACUGACGCUGAGGUGCGAAAGCGUGGGGAGCAAACAGG
rnacentral:rRNA from 1 species